CUUGCACGCUGGCGGCAGGCCUCACACAUGCAAGUCGAGCGAGCGGCGGACGGGUGAGUAAUGUCUGGUGACUCCCCGAUAGAGGGGGAUAACUACUGGAAACGGUAGCUAAUACCGCAUACUAUCGUAUCACCCAUAUGGGAUUAGCUAGUAGGUGAGGUAAUGGCUCACCUAGGCGACGAUCCCUAGCUUGUCUGAGAGGAUGCUCAGCCAAACUGGGACUGAGACACGGCCCAGACUCCUACGGAGGCAGCAGUGGGGAAUAUUGCACAAUGGGCGCAAGCCUGAUGCAGCCAUGCCGCGUGUAGGAAGAAGGCCCUAGGGUUGUAAAGUACUUUCAGUCGGGAGGCGUUACCGACAGAAGAAGCACCGGCUAACUCCGUGCCAGCAGCCGCGGUAAUAC
rnacentral:rRNA from 1 species